UCUUUCUGUCGCAACUGGCGUUCAGAUGGUCACCAUCGGGAAGCGACUGACACGAAUUCGGCCGCGCGCCUGGGUCGAUCCG
rfam:Agreia bicolorata strain VKM Ac-1804 NODE_2, whole genome shotgun sequence.